AACUUUCGACAACGGAUCUCUUGGUUCUGGCAUCGAUGAAGAACACAGCGAAAUGCGAUAAUUAAUGUGAAUUGCAGAAUUUAGUGAAUCAUCGAAUCUUUGAACGCACAUUGCGCCCCUUGGUAUUCCGGGGGGCAUGCCUGUUCGAGCGUCAUUUCAACCCUCAAGCUCUGCUUGGUCUUGGGCCACGCCGGCAACGGCGGGCCUCAAACUCAGUGGCGGUGCCAUCGUGUCCCUCAGCGUAGUAAUUCUUCUCGUUGUUGGGUUUCGGUGGUCGCUGGCCAGCAACCCCCAAUUUUCUAUGGUUGACCUCGGAUCAGGUAGGGAUACCCGCUGAACUUAAGCAUAUCAAUAAGCGGAGGCU
rnacentral:misc_RNA from 1 species